GUUCUUUUAGUAUUAAAUAGUACAGCUGACUUCCAAUUAGCUAGUUCCGAUACUAUUCGGAAAAGAACA
rnacentral:tRNA from 1 species